AACCUUGCAAAAAAAUGUCAUUAGUUUGCAAAGCAAGUGACGGGUGGCAUGAUAUGUAUGCGAGUGAUGCAAAAAGGUUGAAGUACGAUGUACAAUUUGUCCAUUUCUCAAGAAUCUGGGCCCGAAAUCUAUUAAAAUCAUCGACGCUUUCAGAAGAAUGAUAUUCCAGUUUUUCUGCUUGCUAGUUCGGAUUGUUGAUCUUCUUCUCUCCGUCCUUGAUAUAGCUCGGGAGUACAUGAACAACAGGAUUAAACCUGAACCUGGAGCUCAGGUAGAGUCUAGUACUGGAACAUGUGUAGCUCUGUAUAUCCUUGUUAUUUACUAUAUCUCCGGGUUCUGCUCCUCCCACCUACCAGACUGUCCCUGCUCCAGAGGGACCUGGAUACACUCUGAUAUAUCAGACUGGGGGAGAACCCCUUUUUAGCUAAAGGAACUGUCUCUAGUCUGUUCCGGGUACACGUUUCAUCUGAUUUGAUCAUGAUUUAGGAACUUUCUCGUCUGCUCCAGGAACUGUCUCCAGUCUGCUCCAGGUACACUUUUCAUCUGAUUUGAUCAUGAUUUAGGAACUGUUUUCAGUCUGUUCUAGGUACACUUUUCAUCUGAUUUGAUCAUGAUUUAGGAACCGUCUCCAGUCUGCUGCAGGUACACUUUUCAUCUGAUUUGAUUAUGAUUUAUGAACCGUCUCCAGUCUGCUCCAGGUCAUUUUUCAUCUGAUUUGAUCAUGAUUUAGGAACCGUCUCCAGUCUGCUCCAGGUACACUUUUCAUCUGAUUUGAUCAUGAUUUAGGAACAGUCUCCAGUCUGCUCCAGGUACACUU